rnacentral:rRNA from 3 species
GUGGACGAACCUCUGGUGUACCGGUUGUCACGCCAGUGGCAUCGCCGGGUAGCUAUGUUCGGAAGAGAUAACCGCUGAAAGCAUCUAAGCGGGAAACUCGCCUUAAGAUGAGAUAUCCCUGGGGACUAGAUCCCCUUGAAGGGUCGUUCGAGACCAGGACGUUGAUAGGUCAGGUGUGUAAGCGCAGUAAUGCGUUCAGCUAACUGAUACUAAUUGCCCGUAAGGCUUGAUCCUAUAACA